GAUGAACGCUAGCGGCAGGCCUAACACAUGCAAGUCGAGGGGUAGAAGCAGCUUGCUGCUUUGAGACCGGCGCACGGGUGCGUAACGCGUAUGCAAUCUACCUUUUACUAAGGAAUAGCCCAGAGAAAUUUGGAUUAAUGCCUUAUGGUAUAUUUGAAUGGCAUCAUUUAAAUAUUAAAGAUUUAUUGGUAAAAGAUGAGCAUGCGUCCCAUUAGUUAGUUGGUAAGGUAACGGCUUAACAAGACGAUGAUGGGUAGGGGUCCUGAGAGGGAAGUCCCCCACACUUGUAGUGGUACACGGACCAGACUCCUACGGGAGGCAGCAGUGAGGAAUAUUGGUCAAUGGAGGCAACUCUGAACCAGCCAUGCCGCGUGCAGGAUGACGGUCCUAUGGAUUGUAAACUGCUUUUGUACAGGAAGAAAAAGAGUUACGUGUAGCUUAUUGACGGUACUGUAAGAAUAAGGAUCGGCUAACUCCGUGCCAGCCGCCGCAGUAA
rnacentral:rRNA from 1 species